GGGGCUGUAGCUCAAUAGUAGAGCACUUGCCUCGCAUGUCUAAGGCACUGGGUUCAAUUCUCAGCAUCACCU
rnacentral:tRNA from 1 species